AAAAUUACCGGGGCUAAGCUAUACACCGAAAUUGCGGAUUUACACUUGAAAGAUAGUGUAAGUGGUAGAGGAGCAUUCUGUAGUAGGGAGAAGCAAAAGCGAGAGCAUUUGUGGACGAGGCAGAAGAGAGAAUGCUGGAAUAAGUAGCGAGAGCAAGGUGAGAAUCCUUGCCGUCGAAAGUCUAAGGUUUCCUGGGGAAGGUUCGUCCGCCCAGGGUAAGUCGGGACCUAAGGUGAGGCUGAAAAGCGUAGCCGAUGGAUAGCAGGUUGAGAUUCCUGCACUAUAGAUAUACUUAAAAGAUGCAAGGGACGCAGGAGUGGAAGAUAAGCGAGGAAGAGGAAAGACUCGUAUCGCAAGAUAUAGUGAAAAUAAAGUAACGAAUUAUCAAGAAGCACACUGACGAGAAAAGCUUGUAGAUAUUGUAUAUAAAUACCCGUACCGCAAACCGACACAGGUAGAUGAGGAGAGGAUCCUAAGACGAGCGGGAGAAGCAUUGUUAAGGAACUCGGCAAAUUGACCCCGUAACUUAGGGAGAAGGGGUGCCAAGGUAGAACUUGGCCGCAGUGAAGAGGUUCAAGCAACUGUUUAACAAAAACACAGGUUUCUGCUAAAUCGAAAGAUGAAGUAUAGGAGCUGACGCCUGCCCAGUGCUGGAAGGUCAAAGGGAAGUGUUAGUAAAAACUUACGAAGCACAGAACUCAAGCCCCAGUGAACGGCGGCCGUAACUAUAACGGUCCUAAGGUAGCGAAAUUCCUUGUCAGGUAAGUUCUGACCCGCACGAAAGGCGUAAUGAUUUGAACACUGUCUCGACAAUGUACCCGGCGAAAUUGUAGUACUAGUGAAGAUGCUAGUUACCUGCGACAAGACAGAAAGACCCCAUGGAGCUUUACUGCAGCUUGAUACUGGGUUUUGGUAAUUUAUGUACAGGAUAGGUGGGAUACGAAGAAGCAAGUGCGCCAGCAUUUGUGGAGUAGACGUUGGGAUACCACUCUUAAAUUAUUGAAAUUCUAACCUGUGAUCAUGAACUGGUCAGGGGACAAUGUCAGGCGGGCAGUUUGACUGGGGCGGUCGCCUCCUAAAGAGUAACGGAGGCGCCCAAAGGUUUCCUCAGCACGGACAGAAAUCGUGCAAAAGAGUGUAAAGGCAGAAGGAAGCUUAACUGGGAGACUGACAAGUCGAGCAGAUACGAAAGUAGGGCUUAGUGAUCCGGCGGUAGUGAGUGGAAAUGCCGUCGCUCAACGGACAAAAGUUACCCUGGGGAUAACAGGCUUA
rnacentral:rRNA from 1 species